CCGUCUCUGUUUCCCUUCUUCUACAUCAGCCUCCUGGCAGAGCCACCUUAAACAACAUCUGCUAGCCUCUUCACACAGACCUCAACUUUCUCAUCUACGUUCAGAGAAGAUGAAGCUUCAUGUUUUCUACAUCACUUUCAGGUUUGCAUUAAUGCAGAAUGUGUGGAUAUUGAGAAAGCCUACAAAUCAACCAAUUGCUCAUCUAAGUGCAAAGGACAUGCUGUGUGUGACCAUGAGCUCCAGUGUCAAUGUGAGGAAGGAUGGAGCCCUCCUGACUGCGAUGACUCCUCAGUGGUCUUCCGCCACUAUCUACCACUGGCACCAGGCCACACAAACAGAAGAGGAAACCCCAGAUGGUAAAGGCCGUUCAACCCCAAGAGGUGAACUAUAUAGUCUGGGCUGUGAUUACCAUGGCCCCACUUUGCGUUUCUCUCACACUCUUAUCCUGACUACCUAUCUAUCAUUUCUACCCAGCAGCGUUUUGCAAUAACACAUUCAGAAAUGUCUCCUUUGCCUUUUGUUAAAGGCAAAAGAGUCCCUAAAAUGCCGAGGC
rnacentral:sRNA from 1 species